rnacentral:rRNA from 1 species
CCUACGGGUGGCAGCAGUGAGGAAUAUUGGUCAAUGGGCGCGAGCCUGAACCAGCCAAGUCGCGUGAGGGAUGAAGGUCCUAUGGAUCGUAAACCUCUUUUAUAAGGGACUAAAGUGUGGGUCGUGUCCUAUCCUGUAUGUACCUUAUGAAUAAGGAUCGGCUAACUCCGUGCCAGCAGCCGCGGUAAUACGGAGGGUCCGAGCGUUAUCCGGAUUUAUUGGGUUUAAAGGGUGCGUAGGCGGCCUUUUAAGUCAGCGGUGAAAGUCUGUGGCUCAACCGUAGAUUUGCCGUUGAAACGGGGGGGCUUGAGUGUGUUAGGGGCGAGCGGAAUGCGUGGUGUAGCGGUGGAAUGCGUAGAUAUCGCGCAGAACCCCGAUGGCGAAGGCAGCCUG